ACACAGCUGGUGGUAUCUUUUCUUCUGUGAGAGAACUCACCAUUCUUAUUGUUUUCAGUUUCUGUUAAGUGGACAUGAUCUCUCUCUCUCUCUCUCUCUCUCUCUCUCUCUCUCUCUCUCCUUUAAAUCAAGUGGAAACAUGUGCACUGCACUAUGAAAAAAGUUUGUGGAUCUUUUGAUUGUCACCUGGUUUGAGCUUAGUUGAGAGGGUUAGUUCAUGGGAUAAGAAUUUAAAUUGCUCAUUGAUUUAUCAAGAUUGAAAUAAGUUACCAUAUUUUCUUGAGUGCUAAAUUACUGCUCUUUAGCAUAGUAUAUAAGGCUGUUCAAAUUCAUGUGGAGUCAUUUCAAUUUAAGAACUAUUGAUCUUGUUUUUUUCUGAUCAUUAAAUUGUUUGAUUGCAAGAUAUUUCAGUUUGAUAAUAAAUGUUAUAUUGUACAUUUAGAAUUUAAAAUUCUUAAUCUAAGAGAUAUCCAUUAGCAACAUAUCAAACAAAGAGCGGGUGAAUUGCGAUAUACUGGAUUAUUGUUAAUAAGUUAUUGGUCGGCAAUUUAAAAGCCUUCAUUCCGCACAAUUAUCUUCAUUGUUCUAAGCAGAUAAAAUAUAAAAUUAACAGCAUUUCUAUACAGAAAAUUAGAAUAGUCACUCCAGAGGACUUCAUUAUUGACAUGUCUUUUGAACCAUGACUAGCACUGACUUGACUAACAUGACGAAACUGACUCGUUCAAGUUUAGGAGGGAAAUUUGUAAUGGAGGGAAACAUGUAUAGUACAGUUGGUGGGGGCUCAUGGAAACCAGUGUGGCUGUGUGCAUUUCUGAAUAUUGCUGAUCUAGCAAGCAUAUAUAUAUACUUAUUGUGAUUAGUCAGUGGACUGUGAUGGGCCAGUUACCGAAUUCUGUGUGUCUACAAUGUACUCAAAGUCCAUCAAUACCCGAGUUUGGAAAUAAAUUUUGUUUUACAUGGGCAAAUCAAUUUUUUUUUUUAGAAAUUCAGUAUUCCAUAAAUGUUCUCUUAGAAUUAAUUUAUUACUAAUGUCAAGUAGCGACACUGCAUUUGAAUUUAAGAAUUAGAAGACAUUACAUACAUGUUAUGCAUCACUGAAGCUAGCCAAUAUAUACUCUGUGAUAAAUUGAUUUCAAGUUAAAAACAGACUAAAUACUUGAAAUGUACAUGAUAUAGGUACUAGUACAAAUGUACAUGAUAUAGGUACUAGUACAAAUGCGUCUUGUUCCUUUGAUAUUGUUUGAUAUAGGAAGUUGAUACGAUGAUGACAUAAGUUCGGAAGGUGUCGGACGUCAGGCAAGUAGUAACAGGACUUCCUUAAACAUCUUGUACAUCUGAAAAAGGAAGUCAUGCUGGAAAUGCUUACUUCUGCUGUUUUGAUUUAGAAAUAUAUAAUUAAAAAUUGAAAUGGAAUUUUCUUCAAAUUUUUAUAGAAAUUUUAAAGUGAACAUUGUUUGCAUUUUUUCCAAAUUUACAUAGAUUUGAUAUAGAUGUAAAUUGCACGUAAAUAUACAUUCUGGAAUUUUGUCCUCAUUUUCUUUCUGUUUUCUUUUCCUAUCUAAUAUACCUAUGAAGCAGACAAAAGUGGGUAGAUGAUUUAUUACCUAGAUUUAUUUGUCAUACCUGGAUAUAUACAGUAAAAUUUGCACAGUGGCUUUAACCACUCAUCAUAAACGGGGCAUCCCAACCAAGCAGGAUCAGGCAUGCCUGCAGUUUGGCAACAUGUCUUAAGUUCCUAUUAAUGCAUUGCCAAAUUUCAAGUCAAGAAAAAACUCACAUUACCAGGCUAUUCAUGUACUGCAGUAGUAUCUAUUGUCUUUUUCACCUUUAAAACAUUUAAUUACAAAAUCUUUUGUUUGGAGCUUUACUAAUUGUUCAAUAUUUGCACCUUCCGUAAAAUGCGACUUUUUUGCGUGACUGAAAUGGGAGCUGGUAUAAAGAAACGAGAGAAUUGUAUUCAUCUAGGCCCUUUUUAGAAUUUAUCAAGUUACUGGAAAAGGAAAAAUAAAAGUAAAUGUUGAGCUUUUCUGUUGAAUGUUCUUGGUUAUGGAAAAUUUUAUGUCGUAGUCAUAUGCUAAUGAUGGAAUUUUAAUUUGAUAGCAAAGUUUCGUCAGCGAUAUAUUUAUAACCCUUAAAAACAACAACAGGAAAACGUAGAUAAGUUGUAUGUAUAACUACAACGUCAGCAUAUGAAUCAGUCCUAUUUUCAUAGCAAGCAAUGGCACAUGAUAACACAGUACAUUGUAAUAUAGGGUUCAAAUUUUUUGGCUUCUUGACAAUUUUUGCCUGUGAUUGUGAUAAUUGCGGCUGUCUGUGCACAGGUGAGUUUUGCGACAGGUAGUUAUGUGGCUGGAUGGAUUCAAACUAAUUAAUUACAGCCUGAUUCUGCCCAGAUGACUGAUGAAUAUUUAGAUAUGACUGAUUUCUUUCAAAAUGACUAUGGAGAUUUGGAGGAUCUCGUUGACCUGACAAAGUUAGUAAGUGGUAUUACGUCCUUGCUUCUAGCCUUCUAGUCCUGUAAGUAAAUAUUUGCUAGUUCUCCGACAAUAGACGAUUCUUGAUCACAGAAUUCUUGUUAAGGAAAUGAAGUCAAAUGGAAACAUUCUUUCAUUUGUUCACAGUGAAAAAAGUUAUAUAGAUCAUGUAAAAAGGGGGAUUUAAAGGUAAGUUUUAUUUAAACUCCACGAAGAAUCUGAUUUGUGAAAAGUAAGGUUGUUAGAAUGUAAUAUAAUUUAGGUUAGGCUUGUGUGGUGGAAAAUACUUGUUCAUGCAAGUUUUUUUUAGUUAUAAUGAUAAUAGCUAGGUUUCAGGGUUUUUUGGGGGCAUUGUUUUAAUUCCCUGAAAAAGAAAAUUGUUAAUUAUUAAAACCAUGGAUACACCCAAGUGACCAUUCUUGAAAGCAUUUUAAUCAGUAUUGAAAUUGAAGGCUAAAAUAUGAAUGUAAUUAGAUAUUUAUCUAUUCAUUAAAGGUAAAACAAAAGCUUUUUAUAAUUAAAAAGAAACAAAACCUUUUUUUAUUAUUAGAAACGAGGAUCACUUAUCUUGUAAGGGAAUCUAAACUGCAAAUAUAAUCUGGAUCCCCACGAUAAAAACACCAAAGGAUAUAAAUCAUAACCAAAGGAGAUUGUCUCCAGUGAUAUAUUCUAACCGAUUUUAAAAAGACCCAUACAUGGGGCGGUGAUAGGUUUAUUCAGAAGUACUCUUAACAAUGUUUGACAUGUCACAAGACCGAGCUCAUGGGGGACAUGGCAGCAGAAUAUAGCUUUAACCUCUCCCAGAGAUCUUCCUUGAUCAUAACAAGUAGGGGCUGAUCUGGGAACAAUUGGCCUAGAACUUCAGAUCAGCAGACUGAUGCGCCUGAUUGAACAAUUGAGUUUGAAUAGGAUUGGGUAAAAACUGCUACUCUGCCAUUGAUUGAUACCACCUUGUAAUUAUUGAAGAAAGACAUAAAUAUGAUGUUUGGUUUAAAGUAAUAGAAUUUAAACAAAAAGUUUACCAAUAAUUUUUCUAUCUGAAUAAGCGAAAACUUAACACAAAUUCGCCCCUUAAAAAUUCACAAUACAUUUUACUUCUAAACAUGUAUAGACAUGCAUCUCCUGGCAAUGACCUUGUUUUAUCUUUGUACUUCUGUUCAUCAUUAUUAAAACAAAGAACAUUUCUGUAAAAGUAAAAGGAACAUACGCUUGGGUUUUUAUGUCAUAUGAUGGUACAUCACAUGGUCAACAUACUGUCCAACAGCCUUGGUGGGAUUUGAUUGAUAUACAAGGACCGGUGUACUUGUUAGGCAUUUCAUGAAUAGUCGUCGAUGAUAUACAGGAAACUAUAUAAAAAAAUAUGUGACAUGUAAAGGAUUUGACUCAGCUCCUGGUCAUGUGAGUCUGUGAUAGUUGUGUUAGUUUAAUCUGAGAGAGAGA